GUUUGAUUCUGGCUCAGGACGAACGCUGGCGGCGUGCUUAACACAUGCAAGUCGAACGGUAAGGCCUUUCGGGGUACACGAGUGGCGAACGGGUGAGUAACACGUGGGUGAUCUGCCCUGCACUUUGGGAUAAGCCUGGGAAACUGGGUCUAAUACCGAAUAGGACCAUGGACUUCACGGUUUGUGGUGGAAAGCUUUUGCGGUGUGGGAUGGGCCCGCGGCCUAUCAGCUUGUUGGUGGGGUAAUGGCCUACCAAGGCGACGACGGGUAGCCGGCCUGAGAGGGUGACCGGCCACACUGGGACUGAGAUACGGCCCAGACUCCUACGGGAGGCAGCAGUGGGGAAUAUUGCACAAUGGGCGCAAGCCUGAUGCAGCGACGCCGCGUUGAGGGAUGACGGCCU
rnacentral:rRNA from 1 species